rnacentral:rRNA from 1 species
GACGAACGCUGGCGGCGUGGAUUAGGCAUGCAAGUCGAACGGUAUCAUCCUUUCGGGGGUGAGAGAGUGGCGAACUGGUGAGUAACACGUAGGUUAUCUACCCUCAAGACGGGGACAACCCAGGGAAACUUGGGCUAAUACCGGAUGUGAGCAACUUUUAGUUGUUUGAAAGGUGGCGUAAGCUGUCGCUUGGGGAUGAGCCUGCGUCCUAUUAGUUAGUUGGUGAGGUAACGGCUCACCUAGGCAAUGAUAGGUAGGCGGCCUUAACGGGUGGUCGCCCACACUGGGAUUGAGAUACGGCCCAGACUCCUACGGGAGGCAGCAGUCGAGAAUAGUCUACAAUGGUCGGAAGACUGAUAGUGCGACGCCGCGUGAACGAUGAAUCCCUUCGGGGUGUAAAGUUCUUUUAUAUGUGAGCAGUGCUUCUUAUAUUAACAGUAUGGGGAAGAGAUAUUAGCAUAUGAAAUAAGCAACGGCUAACUCCGUGCCAGCAGCCGCGGUAAUA